rnacentral:rRNA from 1 species
CCUACGGGAGGCUGCAGUGGGGAAUAUUGCGCAAUGGGCGAAAGCCUGACGCAGCGACGCCGCGUGAGGGAUGAAGGUCUUCGGAUCGUAACCCUCUGUCAGCAGGGAAGAACGGUCACUGUGCUAAUCAGCAGUGAAUUGACGGUACCUGCAAAGGAAGCACCGGCUAACUCCGUGCCAGCCGCCGCGGUUACACGGAGGGUGCGAGCGGUAAUCGGAAUUACUGGGCGUAAAGCGCUCGUAGGCGGUAUGUCAAGUCAAGGGUGAAAUCCCCGCGCUCAACGUGGGAACUGCCUUUGAAACUGGCAAACUGGAGUGUGUGAGAGGAUAGUGGAAUUCCAGGUGUAGGAGUGAAAUCCGUAGAGAUCUGGCGGAACAUCAGUGGCGAAGGCGACUAUCUGGCACAUAACUGACGCUGAGGAGCGAAAGCGUGGGUAGCAAACAGGAUUAGAUACCCCUGUAGUC